GAUGAACGCUGGCGGCGUGCUUAACACAUGCAAGUCGAACGGCGAACACGGAGCUUGCUCUGUGGGAUCAGUGGCGAACGGGUGAGUAACACGUGAGCAACCUGCCCCUGACUCUGGGAUAAGCGCUGGAAACGGCGUCUAAUACUGGAUACGAGUAGCGGCCGCAUGGUCAGUUACUGGAAAGAUUUUUUGGUUGGGGAUGGGCUCGCGGCCUAUCAGCUUGUUGGUGAGGUAAUGGCUCACCAAGGCGUCGACGGGUAGCCGGCCUGAGAGGGUGACCGGCCACACUGGGACUGAGACACGGCCCAGACUCCUACGGGAGGCAGCAGUGGGGAAUAUUGCACAAUGGGCGAAAGCCUGAUGCAGCAACGCCGCGUGAGGGAUGACGGCCUUCGGGUUGUAAACCUCUUUUAGCAGGGAAGAAGCGAAAGUGACGGUACCUGCAGAAAAAGCACCGGCUAACUACGUGCCAGCUGCCGCAGUAA
rnacentral:rRNA from 1 species